rnacentral:misc_RNA from 1 species
UUACAAGAACUCGAAGCUGUUCGAACCGACACACCUAACCGAAGCAUCGUGUAAGUACGAGCGAGAACACGCUCGUGGGUGUGCAUUACGCUGGCUCUGGACGCAUGCACUAACACGGUCGCGAAACCGUGUAAAGAGCCGCGGUACACACGUCGGUAUAUGGCAGCGAAAUACCCGGCAAUUUGCAGCUUUACGAGUUAUUUCACAAUGGCUGCAAAGUAUAGUGCUACAGUAUUAUACUGGCCGUGAUAGCUGGAGUGCACGGUCAGUGAACGGUGGUGCGAGCAGGGAUGAUGCGCGAAAAGCCUCCUAUUCAGUUUCGAGAAAACAACUGAGAACUAUAAACUCGUCGAAGCUCGAAUACUUUUAUCCUG